GCCGGGCCUGGUGGCACACGCCUUUAAUCCCAGCACUUGGGAGGCAGAGGCAGGUGGAUCUCUGAGUUCGAGGCCAGCCUGGUCUACAAAGUGAGUUCCAGGACAGCCAGGGCUAUACAGAGAAACCCUGUCUCGGAAAACCAAAAAAGAAAAGAAAAGAAAACAAAACAAAGCCAACUUCUUUUGAGAGAUGAUCUCACUGUGUAGGCUUGAUUGGUCUGGAACUUGUUGUGCAGACAAGGCUGGUCUCAAACUCAUAGAGGCCUGCCUGCCU
rnacentral:lncRNA from 1 species